CCUACGGGGUGCAGCAGUGGGGAAUAUUGGGCAAUGGAGGAAACUCUGACCCAGCAACGCCGCGUGAAUGAUGAAGGUCUUCGGAUUGUAAAGUUCUUUUCUAAGGGACGAAGCAAGUGACGGUACCUGACGACUAAGCCACGGCUAACUACGUGCCAGCAGCCGCGGUAAUACGUAGGUGGCAAGCGUUAUUCGGAUUUACUGGGUGUAAAGGGCGUGUAGGCGGGACUGCAAGUCAGAUGUGAAAACCACGGGCUCAACCUGUGGCCUGCAUUUGAAACUGUAGUUCUUGAGUACUGGAGAGGCAGACGGAAUUCCUAGUGUAGCGGUGAAAUGCGUAGAUAUUAGGAGGAACACCAGUGGCGAAGGCGGUCUGCUGGACAGCAACUGACGCUGAGGCGCGAAAGCGUGGGGAGCAAACAGGAUUAGAUACCCCAGUAGUC
rnacentral:rRNA from 1 species